rnacentral:rRNA from 2 species
AGAGUUUGAUCCUGGCUCAGAACGAACGCUGGCGGCGUGCUUAACACAUGCAAGUCGAACGUGAUCCAGAGCUUGCUCUGGUGAAAGUGGCGCACGGGUGAGUAACGCGUGGAUAACCUGCCCUGGUAUCUGGGAUAACAUCUCGAAAGGGGUGCUAAUACCGGAUAAGCCUACGGGCUCUUCGGAGUCUGCAGGAAAAGGAGGCCUCUAUUUAUAAGCUUCCGUAUCAUGAUGGGUCCGCGUACCAUUAGCUAGUUGGUGGGGUAAUGGCCUACCAAGGCGACGAUGGUUAGCUGGUCUGAGAGGAUGAUCAGCCACACUGGAACUGAGACACGGUCCAGACUCCUACGGGAGGCAGCAGUGGGGAAUUUUGCGCAAUGGGGGAAACCCUGACGCAGCAACGCCGCGUGAGUGAUGAAGGCUUUCGGGUCGUAUAGCUCUGUCAGAGGGGAAGAAAUGAAACGUGCUAAUAUCACGUUUUCUUGACGGUACCCUCAAAGGAAGCACCGGCUAACUCCGUGCCAGCAGCCGCGGUAAUAC